rnacentral:rRNA from 1 species
CCUACGGGAGGCUGCAGUGGGGAAUAUUGCACAAUGGGCGCAAGCCUGAUGCAGCCAUGCCGCGUGUGUGAAGAAGGCCUUCGGGUUGUAAAGCACUUUCAGCGGGGAGGAAGGCGUUAAGGUUAAUAACCUUGUCGAUUGACGUCACCCGCAGAAGAAGCACCGGCUAACUCCGUGCCAGCAGCCGCGGUAAUACGGAGGGUGCAAGCGUUAAUCGGAAUUACUGGGCGUAAAGCGCACGCAGGCGGUCUGUCAAGUCGGAUGUGAAAUCCCCGGGCUCAACCUGGGAACUGCAUUCGAAACUGGCAGGCUAGAGUCUUGUAGAGGGGGGUAGAAUUCCAGGUGUAGCGGUGAAAUGCGUAGAGAUCUGGAGGAAUACCGGUGGCGAAGGCGGCCCCCUGGACAAAGACUGACGCUCAGGUGCGAAAGCGUGGGGAGCAAACAGGAUUAGAUACCCUAGUAGUC